UAGGUAACCUCACAGCAGAAGCUCUGCUCACAAGCAGAGCUUCUGCUUCACAAGGCCUGGCCUACAUUUACAAGACUAUGCCUACUGUAUGGCUGCCUACACAAAUGAAUAUACUUAGUUGUCACACGUGUCAUGACAUGAUAGAGCACAUCCAGCCACGGGGCAAAGAGAGAGCAAGACGAGAUAUAUGGUACCCUGCCAGCUGCCUCCUUGUACCUCGGUCACCUUUUUUGAUAACUACUCAACUCUGUACAGCUACAGCCAGGAUUCAGCAUUCAAUCACUCUCAUAAUUUUAUUGUCAUUUCAUCUUUUAUGGGGGACGCCCCACUCUUAAUUUUUAUCACUGAAUGGCUGCUGACGUACGUAUAUAUAAGAGCACUACAAGAUACGACAGGAAAGGGUCAGUAUAAUAAUUAUGUAAGUGAUGUAGUGUACUAUCUUCUGGUAUUCAGCCCCUUUAAUGAGCACAGGAUUAUAUAGAUCAUUAGUUACAUCACUAUAAUUAUGCAAUUUUCUGCUGUAUUUCAUAUUGUAAUGAUUCAUUGGGUACUGACUUUAUAUGGAUGUAUGGAUGGUGCUAUGAUUCUUAGCCUUCCAGGCCGCAACAUAGAAUGCUGGCUUUCUGAUCGAGAUCUGUUAUUUGGAGUGGAUCUACCUCUGAGAGACAAAGGGCCAGUUACUGUAUCAUGUAUGAAUAUAUUUAUUCUGUUGCUUGUACAUUUCGUAGCAUUAUCAGUAAUAUAGAGUAGCAUCUUGAGCUCCCCUUUCUUCAUCACUCAAUCUGCAGGCAGUGUAUGUGAUUUUCUGACAGGAAAGGCUACUCUAAACAGAGGAAGUCGGCCACACAAGGUAUAGUCUAAUAAUUAUUGUACAGUACUAGAUGAUCUUCUCUGUUUUGGGUCAGAUGCAAUUGCCUUGAAUCACUAGCCAGUUUAAAACAUUUCUUCUACUCUUGGCUUAAGAAAUUGUAUUUUAUUAUUGUACCAGCAUUAGGUAGUUAACUCCAGCAUUGACCGUGUAGCGGGAAAGUUCGUUAUUUGAUCCCUUGAGAAAUGUUGUAUAGUUGUUCAUAUUUCAAUGCCAGGAAACCAUAGCUUUGCAUGGUGCGUGGAAGUGUCUUCCAUUUAUAUUACAUGAAGUGUGAAGUGUGUUUGAAGUGUGUUGUAAGUUUGUACAGACCCAUGGUGGCAAUGAUCUGAUGAUGGCUCCACUGCUCUGAUGGACCAAUGCAGGAGAAGUUAUUCUGUAUAAUUAUUACACUAAAUUAAUGUAUGCCACUGUUUGGAUCGGUUUCUGUUCUGCUCAGCUUCUUCCUCCAACUUGCUUACGCAGGCUAAGCUUAUUCUUAAUUAGUUCAUUCUUAGUUCAUUCUAUAGUCUAGUAUUAUUGUCGGUUUGGUUGUUUUAUGUUUUUCACCUGGUCAUACGGAUUCACUUCAUUAAUUUUUAUACAGUGCAGACCACACCUCUAUCCACACAUUGUACCUGCACAUCCUGUAUAUAUGGGGCCACACCCCCACUCACUGUACUGAUAUGUGGUCACACCCCCAUACAUGGUAACCCUCUUGACCACACCUCCACCCAUGCAUUGUGUCGUACAUGCUGUGUUUUUGUGUACAGUACACACAUCAUCCGUGUCUUUAUCCCCACACCUAGUCGGAGGGAGCAGCAAGUUCUACUAAGAGCCAGCAUCACCAACUAACCAACACACUACAAGACUUACCUACUACCAGCUAGGACAGCACACCACCCGGGAUAGACUCUACUAUACCAUGUAAUACGCCUUUGUAUUACGAUCAUGAUACAAUUUGCUGCCCUCCCUCGCCCAUGGAUUGAAUAAUUAUGGACACUCGCAGGAGACUGACACACAAUAAUAGACACCAAAGGGCCAGUUACUGUAUCAUGUACGAAUAUUCUGUUGCUUGUACAACUCGUAACAUUAUCAGUAAUUGACUGUAGAGUAGCAUCUUGAGCUCCCCUUUCUUCAUCACUCAAUGCAGGCAGUGUAUGUGAUUUUCUGACAGGAAAGGCUACUCUAAACAGAGGGAGUCGGCCACACAAGGUAUAGUCUAAUAAUUAUUGUAUGGUACUUAGAUGAUCUUCUCUGUUUUGGGUCAGAUGCAAUUGCCUUCAAUCACUAGCCAGUUUAAAACAUUUCUUCUACUCUUGGCUUAAGAAAUUGUAUUUUAUUAUUGUACCAGCAUUAGGUAGUUAACUCCACUUAUGCAUUGACCUCUGCGUGUAGCGGGAAAGUUCAUUAUUUGAGCCCUAGAGAAAUGCUGUAUAGUUGUUCUCAUUUCAAUGCCAGGAAACCAUAGCUUUGCAUGGUGCGUGGGAGUGUCUUCCAUUUUUAUUACAUGAAGUGUGAAGUGUGUUGUAAGUUUGUACAGAGAGGACUCCCAUGGUGGCAAUGAUCUGAUGAUGGCUCCACUGCUCUGAUGGACCAAUGCAGGAGAAGUUAUUCUGUAUAAUUAUUACACUAAAUUAAUGUAUGCCACUGUUUGGAUCGGUUUCUGUUCUGCUCAGCUUCUUCCUCCAACUUGCUUACGCAGGCUAAGCUUAUUCUUAGUUCAUUCUUAGUUCAUUCUAUAGUCUAGUAUAUUAUCGGUUUGGUUGUUUUAUGUUUUUCACCUGGUCAUACGGAAUCACUUCAUUAUUAUCAGUGCAGACCACACCCCUAUCCACACAUUGUACCUGCACAUCCUGUAUAUAUGGGGCCACACCCACUCACUGUACUGAUAUGUGGUCACACCCCCAUACAUGGUAACCCUCUUGACUACACCUCCACCCAUGCAUUGUGUCGUACAUGCUGUGUUUUUGUGUACAGUACACACAUCAUCCGUGUCUUUAUCCCCACACCUAGUCGGAGGGACAGCAAGUUCUACUAAGAGCCAGCAUCACCAACUAACCAACACACUACAAGACUUACCUACUACCAGCUAGGACAGCACACCACCCGGGACAGACUCUACUAUACCAUGUAAUACGCCUUUGUAUUACGAUCAUGAUACAAUUUGCUGCCCUCCCUUGCCCAUGGAUUGAAUAAUUAUGGACACUCGCAGGACAACUAAGAGACUGACACACAAUAAUACUGCAUUUUUGCCAUUACAUGUAUUGUAAUAAAAAUAAUUAUUAAUUUUUUGCCAUUAAUUUUAUUUAAAAUUAA